rnacentral:rRNA from 1 species
GAGGUUAAGCGACUAAGCGUACACGGUGGAUGCCCUGGCAGUCAGAGGCGAUGAAGGACGUGCUAAUCUGCGAUAAGCGCCGGUAAGGUGAUAUGAACCGUUAUAACCGGCGAUUUCCGAAUGGGGAAACCCAGUGUGACUCGUCACACUAUCAUUAACUGAAUCCAUAGGUUAAUGAGGCGAACCGGGGGAACUGAAACAUCUAAGUACCCCGAGGAAAAGAAAUCAACCGAGAUUCCCCCAGUAGCGGCGAGCGAACGGGGAGGAGCCCAGAGCCUGAAUCAGCAUGUGUGUUAGUGGAAGCGUCUGGAAAGGCGCGCGAUACAGGGUGACAGCCCCGUACACAAAAGCGCAUGUGCUGUGAGCUCGAUGAGUAGGGCGGGACACGUGGUAUCCUGUCUGAAUAUGGGGGGACCAUCCUCCAAGGCUAAAUACUCCUGACUGACCGAUAGUGAACCAGUACCGUGAGGGAAAGGCGAAAAGAACCCCGGCGAGGGGAGUGAAAAAGAACCUGAAACCGUGUACGUACAAGCAGUGGGAGCACCCUUUGGGGUGUGACUGCGUACCUUUUGUAUAAUGGGUCAGCGACUUAUAUUCUGUAGCAAGGUUAACCGAAUAGGGGAGCCGGAGGGAAACCGAGUCUUAAUUGGGCGUUAAGUUGCAGGGUAUAGACCCGAAACCCGGUGAUCUAGCCAUGGGCAGGUUGAAGGUUGGGUAACACUAACUGGAGGACCGAACCGACUAAUGUUGAAAAAUUAGCGGAUGACCUGUGGCUGGGGGUGAAAGGCCAAUCAAACCGGGAGAUAGCUGGUUCUCCCCGAAAGCUAUUUAGGUAGCGCCUCGUGAAUUCAUCUCCGGGGGUAGAGCACUGUUUCGGCUAGGGGGCCAUCCCGGCUUACCAACCCGAUGCAAACUGCGAAUACCGGAGAAUGUUAUCACGGGAGACACACGGCGGGUGCUAACGUCCGUCGUGAAGAGGGAAACAACCCAGACCGCCAGCUAAGGUCCCAAAGUCAUGGUUAAGUGGGAAACGAUGUGGGAAGGCCCAGACAGCCAGGAUGUUGGCUUAGAAGCAGCCAUCAUUUAAAGAAAGCGUAAUAGCUCACUGGUCGAGUCGGCCUGCGCGGAAGAUGUAACGGGGCUAAACCAUGCACCGAAGCUGCGGCAGCGACGCUGAUGCGUUGUUGGGUAGGGGAGCGUUCUGUAAGCCUGUGAAGGUGGCCUGUGA